CCAUCUUGCCCAGGUUGGGAUUUCUGCACUUUAAAUGGGUGAAUUUUAUGAUAUGUGAAUGAUAUUUCAAUAAAGAUGUUUUUAAAAAGAAACGUGAUUAAACCAUUUUUGCUUUCUGAAUUUACAAGAAUUGGGAACUCUAUUAACUUUUUAAAAAUUAACAGUAUAGGCCAGAACAAUUGCUAUAUAGGAUAAUAAUAAAUGUUACUUCUAUGCAUCUAACAAAAACCUCACAUAUCACCUGUUCAUGGCCUCCUAAAUAAAGGAAGUGGUAAGGGAAGUCUGGGCCACUGGGCUAGUCUUUGUUCUGAUGAUGAAGGAGGAGCGUUUGAAAGGUAAUUGUCUGUGUCAAGUGCAUUCC
rnacentral:lncRNA from 1 species